GGAGAUGUGGCUCAGUGGUAGAGCGCUUGCCUGCCCAGCAUGCGCAAGCUCCGGGUUCAACCUGGCAGCUCCC
rnacentral:tRNA from 1 species